GGCACAGUGGUGCAGUGGUUAGCACAGUUGCCUCGCAAUAAGGAGGCUCUGAGUUAAAGCCCCAGCCUGCUA